ACAUAUCAAUAAGCGGAGGAAAAGAAACUAACAAGGAUUCCCAUAGUAACUGCGAGUGAAGCGGGAAAAGCUCAAAUUUAAAAUCUGGCAGUCUUUUGGCUGUCCGAGUUGUAGUCUGGAGAAGUGCUUUCCGCGCUGGACCGUGUAUAAGUCUCUUGGAACAGAGCGUCAUAGAGGGUGAGAAUCCCGUCUUUGACACGGACUACCAGUGCUUUGUGAUGCGCUCUCGAAAGAGUCGAGUUGUUUGGGAAUGCAGCUCAAAAUGGGUGGUGAAUUCCAUCUAAAGCUAAAUAUUGGCGAGAGACCGAUAGCGAACAAGUACCGUGAGGGAAAGAUGAAAAGCACUUUGGAAAGAGAGUUAAACAGUACGUGAAAUUGCUGAAAGGGAAACGCUUGAAGUCAGUCGCGUCGUCCGGAACUCAGCCUUGCUUUUGCUUGGUGCACUUUCCGGUUGACGGGUCAGCAUCGAUUUUGACCGUCGGAAAAGGGCUGGAGUAAUGUGGCACCCUCGGGUGUGUUAUAGACUCUGGUCGCAUACGGCGGUUGGGAUCGAGGAACGCAGCGCGCCGUAAGGCAGGGGUUCGCCCACUUUCGCGCUUAGGAUGCUGGCAUAAUGGCUUUAAACGACCCGUCUUGAAACACGGACCAAGGAGUCUAACAUACCUGCGAGUGUUUGGGUGGAAAACCCGAGCGCGUAAUGAAAGUGAAAGUUGAGACCCCUGUCGUGGGGGGCAUCGACGCCCGGACCUGACGUUCUCUGAAGGAUCCGCGGUAGAGCAUGUAUGUUGGGACCCGAAAGAUGGUGAACUAUGCCUGAAUAGGGUGAAGCCAGAGGAAACUCUGGUGGAGGCUCGUAGCGAUUCUGACGUGCAAAUCGAUCGUCAAAUUUGGGUAUAGGGGCGAAAGACUAAUCGAAUCAUCACAAUGCCAC
rnacentral:rRNA from 1 species